rnacentral:rRNA from 1 species
AGGUUGAUAGGCCGGAGGUGUAAGAGAAGCAAUUCUUUGAGCUGACCGGUACUAAUAGCCCGAGGGCUUGUUCACCUAUAAC